GCACAGGAUACAAGGAAAAAUAAAAGGGAAAAGGGAAAAAAAUAAAAUCCAAGUCUUACCCGAGUCCCCCUUUCCCGAUCCGCCGGCCGAUCCACCCACCGCCGCCCCGCCAUGCCGGCGUUCAAGGCCCCGGCGCCGGGCUUCGCCGUCCGCUUCAGCCCGUUCCACGAGAACCGCCUCCUCGCCGCGGCGUCGCAGCACUUCGGCCUCGUCGGCAACGGCCACCUCAUCGUCCUCGACCUCGCCGCCGCGGGGCCCGGGCCCGGCGCCGCCCCGGUCCCGGUCUUCUCCUUCCCCACCUCCGACGCGCUCUUCGACUGCGUCUGGUCCGAGUCCCACGAGUCCCUCUGCGCCGCCGCGUCCGGGGACGGCUCCGUGCGCCUCUUCGACGCCGCGCUCCCGCCGGCGCAGAACCCCGUGCGCCUCCUCCGGGAGCACGCGCGCGAGGUCCACGGCCUCGAUUGGAACCCCGUCCGCCGGGACGCUUUCGUCUCCGCCUCCUGGGACGACACGCUCAAGCUCUGGUCACCCGACCGCCCGGCCUCCGUCCGCACCUUCCGCGGCCACGAGUACUGCGUCUACGCCGCCGCCUGGUCCGCGCGCCACCCGGACGUCUUCGCCUCCGCCUCCGGCGACCGCACCGCGCGGGUCUGGGACGUGCGCGACCCGGCGCCCACGCUCAUCCUGCCCGCGCACGACCACGAGGUGCUCUCGCUCGACUGGGACAAGUACGACCCGUCCAUCCUCGCCACCGCCUCCGUCGACAAGUCCAUCCGCGUCUGGGACGUGCGAGCGCCGCGGGCGCCCGUCGCGCAGCUCGCCGGCCACGGCUACGCCGUCAAGCGCGUCCGCUUCUCCCCGCAUCGCCAGGGCAUGCUCAUGUCCUGCUCAUACGACAUGACCGUGUGCAUGUGGGACUACCGCGCCGAGGACGCGCUGCUCGCCAGGUACAACCACCACACCGAGUUCGUCGCUGGCAUCGACAUGAGCGUGCUCGUCGACGGGCUGCUUGCCAGCACCGGCUGGGACGAGAUGGUCUACAUCUGGCCCUUUGGGACCGAUCCCAGAGCCAUGUAGCAAAACAAAUCCAAUUCAAUAGACCAGGGUAAAUACUUUAUGGAAGAGGAUCAGACGGCAUGGUUUGAAGGAUAUGAGAAAUGAUAUAUAGCAAGGGACAGACUGCGACCACAGCCUUGAUGAGAAAAUUUGUAGUGAGCAAGAAGAUGUUAUGUUUAUCAAGUGCUCGUAACAGAUUUGAUUCAACGUGGAGAAUCAGCAACCAAAGAUAAGCGUAAGGGUAAGGGUGCUGCUGGGAGGAGUCCUUCCAAAACGGCUUCACAUGCAAAGCUAAAGAAGUUGGUGAAGCAACAGGAAAUUGACUUCUAUUUCAUUUUUGCCUCGCAAAUAGGCCCUUUAAACUAAUCUCGUGGUGCUGGAUCACAAAAGACUGAAAGCGCAGGCUCAGGAGGCUGCUCCUGCUUGUUGGCAUGCUAGGAAUUCUUUGAUAACCCAUCGCCUAUAAUCUUUUUGUCUCCUGUUUUUGACGAUUGGUUUGCAGUAGGAUAAGCCCAGUACAUAUAUGAUACAUGGGAUGCCCUGCAAUGGUUCCGACACCUCUCUCUGGCCCAUCUGACCUCUUUAGACGGGCCUGGCAGAAGAAGCCUCCAUCCAGAUCUUUGCAA